rnacentral:rRNA from 1 species
UACGGAGGGUGCUAGCGUUGUUCGGAAUCACUGGGCGUAAAGCGCGUGUAGGCGGCCCACUAAGUCUGAUGUGAAAGCCCGGGGCUCACCCCCGGAAGUGCAUUGGAAACUGGUGGACUCGAGUCCCGGAGAGGAGAGUGGAAUUCCUGGUGUAGCGGUGAAAUGCGUAGAUAUCAGGAGGAACACCGGUGGCGAAGGCGGCUCUCUGAACGGUGACUGACGCUGAGACGCGAAAGCGUGGGGAGCAAACAGG